rnacentral:lncRNA from 1 species
GUAAGCAGAGGUUAGAGGGAUGUUUAUUGAGGAAAGUGAAGAAGAGAUGAGGAUAGCACACAGUUUCUGAAACCUGGAGCCUUCUGCCCCUGGAAAGUGACAACAGCCUCAGAGAGAACUGAGAAGAGCCUGGGCACCAAUCCCUGUCUCAUGGGUGAGCCAUUGUCACAUGGUGCCUGAAAGUCCCCGGGGCCACCAGAAACACAGCCAAGCGG